GCCAUCCAAAUGCCCAUUGCUUGUUAAUGGAUUCAUGGAACUGCCACGCAAUAGGAACAGCUCAGCAGUAAAGAACAACUACUGAUACACCCUGCAGCACGACCAGUACAUGCUAGAAAAGCUUCCGGAUGCUCUGUGUGGCGAUGAGAUCUCCUCUGCCUCCAGACCUCACAGCACCUGGUGCAGGGUGAGAAAGCAGCAGGUCUGUGAGGAAGGCAUUGUUCUCCCCUUUGACAAGCGAGGAAACUGAGGCUGAAGAGAAGAUAGAGACUUCUCCAAGACUCUGCUAGGCAAUGGUAUUUCCAGGACACAAACCCAGAUGUGCCUGCCCCCUUAAGGAAGGGGCUGGGCUUCUGAGGCUCCCCAAACUCCAAACACAGCUGUAGAAGCUGACUCUGCCUCACAAGGUGCUCCUUCCAGUCCCAUCCCUGUCAGCCGUCCUGGAGAUUGCUGGUCACUCAUGGCGGGCUCCUGGUGCCACAGUACCUCCAAGAGUUAAAUUUUCUCGGUUUCCUAUCACUGCCAUCUCUGGCAGAGGUGCUCCGGGCUGGCUGGGUGACCACGGCAGGGCACCAUCUCCUGCUAUGUGCCCCGCUGCCCUCAGCCCCUGCAGCCAGUGCUGCACAGCCUGCCCACCUCUGUGUUCUCACCCUGGCCUGGGCCCUUUUCCCCCUCCUUCCAGCCUGCCUGGGGCCUCACCAGCUGUGCCUGGACAGCUAGAUUAGAAGUGGCUGCUAUGUCUAAUCCUUACCCUGGAGUCUAAGCUAUAUUUCUUCAUCCCUAGCUCCCAAGGCCCUGGUCAAAAUCAGUAAGUUGCUAGCCAUGGUGGCAUACACCUAUAGUCCCAGCACUCAAGAGGCUGAGACAGGAGGAUUGCUGUGAGUUUGAGGGCAGCCUGGGCUACAUAGUGAGUUCAAGCCCAGCCCGAACUACAUAGCAAGAUCCUGCCUCAAAAACCAAAACCAAAACCCCCCCAAAAUCAGCAAGUUUCUUGCAAGACUCCUCAUGUCUAGCAGUCUGCUGACUCCUGUAGGCUGUAUUAUGUCUGGAAAAUCUUUUUCCAAUUCCCCAUUCAGAGAUCUCCAACCUCUCUAAUGCCCUGGGCACGGCAGAUCCUAUAGGGGUGUGCUCUGGAGCUCACCUCCAGUUGCAGGCACGCCAUGAUUGAAUUAAACAUUAAAGUAUACAUUCAGUGUUGUAACACUGCUGCUUCUCCAACUAUGACCUCUUUGGGGCUGAGUGUGUUGCUUGGGUGUACUGCAUUGUAGACACAGGGCUACCUGGAGCUACCUGAGGUGUGACUUAAGUGGAGAAGGCUGGAAGUUUUUAUGGGAGGCUGUGAAACUUCUCUCCCCAUAGAUAUCUGUCAAGGAAUGUGGGAGCAAUUACCAGAGCUCAGAAGGCACAGCAGAGCUCCAUGCACUUUUGACACAACAUGGCCCAAUGACUGCCCCAAAGCAUCUCCUGCUAGUUGCCCACCUUCUCGAGGAAGGCAACUCUGAAGAUCUGAAGAUAAAGACCCCAUUUAAAAUGGAAUCUGACUCUAGGAUUCCUGAGCUCUGCUCCUCUGUCUGCCCUAUUCCCAGCACCUCAAUCUGAACACGCUAAAGUGUACUUACUAUGCUCAUUGUUUGUUUUCUGUCUCUCUCCACCAAAACUCAACUCCACAAUGGCAGGAAGGGACUUAUUUUCUGCUUGGUCCAGGAUGCAUUCCAAGCAUCUAGAGCAAUGUGCACACAGUAGGUACCCAGUAAACAUGUGUUGAAUGAGUAGUGAUGCACCCCUAAAUGUCUGUGGUGGUUUUAAAAUGUGUUCACAAGUUCUGUGACACUACUUUCUCUAAA